AACGAACGCUGGCGGCAGGCCUAACACAUGCAAGUCGAGCGCGCCUUCGGGUGAGCGGCGGACGGGUGAGUAACACGUGGGAAUAUGCCUUUCGGUGCGGAAUAGUCUUGGGAAACUGAGGGUAAUACCGCAUACGCCCCUUGGGGGAAAGAUUUAUCGCCGAAAGAUUAGCCCGCGUUGGAUUAGGUAGUUGGUGGGGUAAUGGCCUACCAAGCCGACGAUCCAUAGCUGGUUUGAGAGGAUGAUCAGCCACACUGGGACUGAGACACGGCCCAGACUCCUACGGGAGGCAGCAGUGGGGAAUCUUAGACAAUGGGGGCAACCCUGAUCUAGCCAUGCCGCGUGAGUGAUGAAGGCCUUAGGGUUGUAAAGCUCUUUCAGCUGGGAAGAUAAUGAACGUACCAGCAGAAAGAGCC
rnacentral:rRNA from 1 species